GCCUGGCCAGUUCAGUUGGUGGAGCAUGUGACUUUUGAUCUCAGGAUUGUGAGUUCAAGCCCCACAUUAGGCA
rnacentral:tRNA from 1 species